rnacentral:rRNA from 1 species
GGGGUAUUAGUUUUCGGACUAAGAGACCGGCGCACGGGUGCGUAACGCGUAUGCAAUCUACCUUUUACAGAGGGAUAGCCCAGAGAAAUUUGGAUUAAUACCUCAUAGUAUAAUGACUCGGCAUCGAGAUAUUAUUAAAGUCACAACGGUAAAAGAUGAGCAUGCGUCCCAUUAGCUAGUUGGUAAGGUAACGGCUUACCAAGGCUACGAUGGGUAGGGGUCCUGAGAGGGAGAUCCCCCACACUGGUACUGAGACACGGACCACACUCCUACGGGAGGCAGCAGUGAGGAAUAUUGGACAAUGGGCGCAAGCCUGAUCCAGCCAUGCCGCGUGCAGGAUGACGGUCCUAUGGAUUGUAAA